rnacentral:piRNA from 1 species
UGCACUCAAGAAUACACCCAAGGUCUGG